rnacentral:rRNA from 1 species
UACGUAGGGGGCAAGCGUUGUCCGGAAUCAUUGGGCGUAAAGAGCGUGUAGGCGGCCUGGUAAGUCCGCUGUGAAAGUCCAGGGCUCAACCCUGGAAUGCCGGUGGAAACUGUCAGGCUCGAGUCCGGAAGAGGCGAGUGGAAUUCCUGGUGUAGCGGUGAAAUGCGCAGAUAUCAGGAGGAACACCAAUGGCGAAGGCAGCUCGCUGGGACGGUACUGACGCUGAGGCACGAAAGCGUGGGGAGCAAACAGG